CCCGCUGAACUUAAGCAUAUCAAUAAGCGGAGGAAAAGAAACUAACAAGGAUUCCCCUAGUAACUGCGAGUGAAGCGGGAAAAGCUCAAAUUUAAAAUCUGGUGGUCUUUGGCCAUCCGAGUUGUAAUUUAGAGAAGCGUCUUCCGCGCUGGACCGUGCACAAGUCUCCUGGAACGGAGCGUCGUAGAGGGUGAGAAUCCCGUCUUUGGCAUGGACACACCAGGGCUUUUGCGAUGCGCUCUCGAAGAGUCGAGUUGUUUGGGAAUGCAGCUCAAAAUGGGUGGUAAAUUCCAUCUAAAGCUAAAUACUGGCGAGAGACCGAUAGCGAACAAGUACCGUGAGGGAAAGAUGAAAAGCACUUUGGAAAGAGAGUUAAACAGUACGUGAAAUUGUUGAAAGGGAAACGUUUGAAGUCAGUCGCGUCGGCCGGGACUCAGCCUUGCUAUCUUGCUUGGUGCACUUCUCGGUCGACGGGUCAGCAUCAAUUUUGACCGUCGGAUAAAGGCCGAGGGAACGUGGCAUCCUCCGGGGUGUGUUAUAGCCCUUGGUUCGCAUACGGCGAUCGGGAUUGAGGAACUCAGCGCGCCUUCAUUGGUCGGGGCUUCGCGGCUCACGUUAACGCGCUUAGGAUGCUGGCAUAAUGGCUUUAAGCGACCCGUCUUGAAACACGG
rnacentral:rRNA from 1 species